AAAUUUAGGUUGACCACCCAACCAGAACCUUCAAAGUUCUAAACAUGAGUCCCAACCUCAU
rnacentral:tRNA from 1 species